rnacentral:tRNA from 1 species
GCCCGUGUGGCCCAGUGGUUGGAGCGUCGGCCCGCGCACCAGAGGGUCAUGGGUUCCAUUCCCAGUCAGGGGCA